UACAGAGGGUGCGAGCGUUAAUCGGAAUUACUGGGCGUAAAGCGUGCGUAGACGGUUAUAUAAGUUGGGUGUGAAAGCCCCGGGCUCAACCUGGGAAUUGCAUUCGAGACUGCAUAGCUAGGGUGCGGAAGAGGGAAGCGGAAUUUCCGGUGUAGCGGUGAAAUGCGUAGAUAUCGGAAGGAACAUCAGUGGCGAAAGCGGCUUCCUGGUCCAGCACCGACGUUCAGGCACGAAAGCGUGGGGAGCAAACAGG
rnacentral:rRNA from 1 species